AUGGGCCUCUUCGGCAGCAGCAAUGGCAAGGGCAAGGGCACCCCCGGUGCCUCGUCAUCCCGUGCUCCCCCUCCCCCUCCAUCGCCGGCGCGUUUCCGCCCUGAACGCCGGCGCCUGCACAUCUCGGUGCACCAAGCGCGCGGGCGCACGACGACGAGGUGCGCCGGCGCCGCGCGCUGCUCACGCCGGAGCAGCGUCGGUUGCCUGAGUACGCCGCCGACUCUCCUAACUGGGAGGCUUGGUUCGCCCUCGAACACGAGGAGCAACGGCGCUCGGGUGUCGACGCCGUCCCGCCGCCGCCCCCGGAGGUAG
rnacentral:rRNA from 1 species